AUGAUUUAUUCUAAUGAUACAUAAAUAAAAAUAUUUUGAUAAUUUUCAAUUUCAAACAAAAGUUAAAAGUUAAAGACAUUUAAAUUUCUUUUGCAUUAAAAGUGCUUUUCGGCCGCAAUAAAAGUUGCACCCUUAAUCCAUUCUAACAGUAUCUCCUGAAUCAGGAAGAGGAGUCGUCCUAGUUAUAGAGUCACCAUAGGAGCAUUUGCUCAAAAUUUUUGUUUUUCUGACUUAGAGAAUCAUCAAAAGUACUUACCACCUUUUAGCAUCCCCAGUAUCUUUUUGUUGGUGCACUCAUUCUUGGCUCUCUACUAGUGAAGACCGGAUUUUGCUAAGAUUUUAAGAAGUCGAGGGAAUGGAUAAAGCUCGAAUUUACAAGCAGCAAGUGUUAAAAUAGAAUAAAAGAAAUGCGUAACGAAGUUCAUGAUAGUGUUAUUCUUUCUAUUAUUGAAAACCUGCCACAAGUAUUUAAGAUUGCUUGAGAAAUUAGGAAUUUGUACCUACUUCUACUGGUGCAAUUAAAUGUCCAGCUUUAUGAUCCUUAUAUACUUUGCUAUAAGACUGAUAGUUUCCAACAUGGCCCUUUCCAAGAAUCUGCCAUCUUGGACAUGUUGCAAGGUUUGGGCCUUAGGACAUCGUAACUCUUGAAAGAGUCAUAGAAAGUGUUCAAAACGUUGAGCGAAUGAUGCAAGAAGAUCACGACAAAGACAAAUUCAAAAAGCCUUGCAACAUGAGACCUGACCUGGAAAAUUUUGGAAUGAUCUAUGUAUGAUUUGCCGGUGUCCAACGUUAGUUUCAUAUUAUUCGUGGUGCCUCGUCAAGUUCAUGUAAUCACUCGUAAAGAAUGACUCAAUGAGGCUCGCCAGUGUCUUACCUUAAUGCUAUGCCAUGUUUUCCCUUGGUGUUACUCCAAGUAAGGCCAAGUUGUCGUGAAGGUUCUGGAUGAAAUCCACCAGCAGUCUGUGGUUUUAUCGUCUCGAGCUUCUGUAUCUUCAAUUGGAUCUGUUCCCGCUCCUAAUGAAGUUGUGGAAUUGCUUCCUGUCAAAAUUUAUAACAAGUCACACAAACUUCAUAAUG